UGAACGCUGGCGGCGUGCAUAACACAUUCGAAGUCGAACGGACGACGGGCUUCGGCCCGAAGUUAGUGGCGGACGGGUGAGUAACGCGUGAGCAACCUGCCCCUGUGUGCGGGAUAACGUCUGGAAACGGACGCUAAUACCGCAUGACCCAAUAGAAUCGCAUGGUUCAGAUGGCAAAGAUUUAUUGCACAGGGAUGGGCUCGCGUCCGAUUAGAUAGUUGGCGGUGCAACGGACCACCAAGUCGACGAUCGGUAGCCGGACUGAGAGGUUGAACGGCCACAUUGGAACUGAGAUACGGUCCAGACUCCUACGGGAGGCAGCAGUGGGGAAUAUUGGGCAAUGGGCGAAAGCCUGGAACCCCCAGCGACGCCGCGUGAAGGAAGACGGUCUUCGGAUUGUAAACUUCUUUUAUGUAGGACGAAAGCAAUGACGGUACUACAGGAAUAAGCCACGGCUAACUACGUGCCAGCCGCUGC
rnacentral:rRNA from 1 species